UCGAGAAGAUCAGUUAAAAAAUAGGAUAAAUUUGAGAGCCUCUGGUUUAGUCAGAGGCACAGAAACUGUUGUGAGCCUGUGGCUCGCUAUGACCCGGAGAGCAAGGACCUCUGGUCCUUGACGAGUUCGAGUCCGCCACUUCUCCUCUUUUUCUUAUUUUCUUAUCUUUUAUUUUUCUCCCUUUUACCGGACUCUCCCUGUCUCAUCCCACCUUUAAGGUCCUUUUUAAUUGUUUUAUCGUCGCUCCAUCUCUCUCCUUGUUAAAACACACUCAUUAGGUCGCUUCAACGAAAACUCUUGCCCUAGCAAACCCGUCCAAACUUAAUAUAUAUAUAGUGCACGUCGUCCAAAGUGAAAAUUCAAAUUUUGAAUAAUUAACAAAACUAAAUUAAAUAAUAAAAAUCAAUGAUCCUGAAUUUUUAUUCUUUUUUUCCCGCUACUUUUUUUUUCUGCAAUAUAAAUUUCAUGUGAUCGUUACAGGUAUGCAGUGUUGCGCAAUAGCUGCGCAAUAACGGUACAAACGUGCGUGACGACAAUCUGAAAAGCGCGGAGGAAGAAGGAGAAAUCGGUAUAAGGAAUAUAACUCGGCGUAUGAAGUCAUCUGCGGCAAGGAUCUUUCAUACUGUCCACACUGUUCUAAGAACAUCCUGCGUGGAACCGCAAUCGAGUAUCUACGAAGGUACAACCGAAGGAAUGUAAACCCUAAAGCGAAGGAAUUUGUUUUCUCGGAAGCGGCGAUGAUGAUGAUGAUGAUGAUGACGGUCUGUCGUGCUUUAGAUGGUCAACCGAGCGAAAUUGUUUUGGCUUGGUAACAAAGGAACGCGAGGAAAGAUAGUAUCUGCAGCACCGCUUUAGAAGUAAUUUCCCGUGGAACGAGCGCGAGGAAAAAAAUACGAGGAACGUUUACGAUGUUUCGAAGAAGGCAAGAGUCUCGUCCUCUCGUUACACGAUUACAAAAGACCAGAAUCUUUCGGAGUGUUCUUUCGAAGAAAAAGAAUGCACGAGCGAUGAAAAUGCACAACCCGCGGCCGAAUACCGUAAUGCUUGUUCAAAUUCAUCGGAGAGCGUUCAACAGGUCGGUGAAGUAGGUGGGCCACCCUCUUCGAGUUAUUCCUCCUAUUCCCUUUUGAAAAAGAUCGUUCGACUGCGUUAAUGGGAUACGAAAUAAAUCUUGAAGGAGAAGAUACGUCAGAAGAACUUACGUCGUAAUUAUGUCCUCGACGACUGGUGGAAUUUUCAGUAAUUGCCGCCAGAUGGACACCGAGCUACUGGAAGGAAGAAGGAACACGCUUCGAUUGCAGAUUGUGUUCCCAGGAAUCGCUUUGAGAAUUGUUAAGUUGCUCGUGCCUCGAAUAAAAUAAAGGCGAUAUAUUACGUUGAAUUUAUGUUUUUUAUUUUUAUUUUUAUUUUAUUUUUUUUUUUUGUUUCAUUUGAUGGUGCACGAUUGUUAUCAUUUGUGACAGAAGUAUAAUGUAAAUUCUUUUUCUUAAAUAAGAAAUAAUUGAAGCUUGUUCAAAAUGAAA